rnacentral:rRNA from 1 species
GACGAACGCGGCGGCGUGCUUAACACAUGCAAGUCGAACGCUGAAGGCCCAGCUUGCUGGGUGGAUGAGUGGCGAACGGGUGAGUAACACGUGAGUAACCUGCCCCCUUCUUUGGGAUAACGGUCGGAAACGGCUGCUAAUACCGGGUAUUCACUGUCCUUCGCAUGGGGGGUGGUGGAAAGGUUUUUUCUGGUGGGGGAUGGGCUCGCGGCCUAUCAGCUUGUUGGUGGGGUGAUGGCUUACCAAGGCUUUGACGGGUAACCGGCCUGAGAGGGUGACCGGUCACAUUGGGACUGAGAUACGGCCCAGACUCCUACGGGAGGCAGCAGUGGGGAAUAUUGCACAAUGGGCGAAAGCCUGAUGCAGCGACGCCGCGUGAGGGAUGACGGCCUUCGGGUUGUAAACCUCUUUCGCUCAUGGUCAAGCCGCAACAAUGGUUGUGGUGAGGGUAGUGGGUAAAGAAGCACCGGCUAACUACGUGCCAGCAGCCGCGGUAAUGCGUAGGGUGCGAGCGUUGUCCGGAAUUAUUGGGCGUAAAGGGCUUGUAGGCGGUUUGUCGCGUCUGCCGUGAAAUCCUCUGGCUUAACUGGGGGCGUGCGGUGGGUACGGGCAGGCUUGAGUGCGGUAGGGGAGACUGGAACUCCUGGUGUAGCGGUGGAAUGCGCAGAUAUCAGGAAGAACACCGGUGGCGAAGGCGGGUCUCUGGGCCGUUACUGACGCUGAGGAGCGAAAGCGUGGGGAGCGAACAGG